AUGAACGCUGGCGGCGUGCCUAAUACAUGCAAGUCGAGCGAACAGACGAGGAGCUUGCUCCUCUGACGUUAGCGGCGGACGGGUGAGUAACACGUGGAUAACCUACCUAUAAGACUGGGAUAACUCCGGGAAACCGGAGCUAAUACCGGAUAAUAUAUUGAACCGCAUGGUUCAAUAGUGAAAGACGGUUUUGCUGUCACUUAUAGAUGGAUCCGCGCCGCAUUAGCUAGUUGGUAAGGUAACGGCUUACCAAGGCGACGAUGCGUAGCCGACCUGAGAGGGUGAUCGGCCACACUGGAACUGAGACACGGUCCAGACUCCUACGGGAGGCAGCAGUAGGGAAUCUUCCGCAAUGGGCGAAAGCCUGACGGAGCAACGCCGCGUGAGUGAUGAAGGUCUUCGGAUCGUAAAACUCUGUUAUUAGGGAAGAACAAAUGUGUAAGUAACUAUGCACGUCUUGACGGUACCUAAUCAGAAAGCCACGGCUAACUACGUG
rnacentral:rRNA from 1 species